ACAUUAAGUUAAGUUAAUUUAGAAAAACGUUUGGAGCAUUAUUUGUUUGUUAAAUAUACAUUUUCGUUUUUUUUUUUUAAGUAACGACCAAGCGACCAGCGUUAGACAGUGAGCCUAUGAAGAGUUCAGAUGCAAAAGCCUCUAAACGCCACCUCUGUCAAAAAUGAGAUAAUGACAGCUAUCUGCACAUAGUACACGUUCAACAAAUAUGUUUGCUUCUAAUCCUCAAUAUAUCAGCCUCAGCCCAUUCAGAAAUAUCAGUUUGUUGGCAAAAGCCGCUAGGCGCCACUUCCCUUUUGGCAGCAAAAGCCGCUAUGUCCCGAGAACCAAUCAGAAGGCGCGAAUCAAUACAGGUGGUUUCAAUAUAGCGGCGUGCUGAGGAGACAGCUUUUUUUUUUUUUUUUUGAGACAGCUGAGGAGAUUGUUUUGGUUUUAGAUUCAGAUUCAGAUUUUUUUAAUUUUUAAGAUGGGGUACAAUGAAAUGGAUGAGCCUGUCCUACUGACAUCAAAUGGCAGAAGAAAACGUCGUUUACCUCAAAACUCUUCCCGUUACAAGGCAAAAGAGAAACGAUACAGUGGAAAUGGCUUGGUCGCAAGUGUAGCAUGCACUCAUAACACUUCUUGGUGCAGUGCUGUUACUUUGAAGGAAUCAGAUUUAUUUUACAUCAAACAACAGCUCUAUUUCACCAACAACAAAGUCAAACAAGAUGCCAUUCUUCUGUCUCAUAUGGAUGCUAUGCCAUGUGAACGGAGGAGACAACAAGUGGAGGCUGAAGAGAAGAGAAGACAAAGAGAUGUAUCGAUCAAGUAUGCCGUUUGGAAAGAAUAUAAAACAAAAGUUCCUGUCUGCCAUGCUUCAUUCCUGAGCAUUUUCUGUGUCAAGAAAGACAGAGUUCAAAGUAUUGCCAAGUACUGGCUUGAGAACGGCAAAGCACGUCCCGAAAAUCGUGGUGGUCCCAGGGAAACUGAAGAGCAAACUGCAAAAAAGGACAUAGUUCGAAAGCACAUACAGUCUUUUUUAAUUGUAGAGCAAGCCACUAUGCCCGCCGUGGUGCACCUGGGAGAAAGUUCCUGCCGGGUGACUUGAGUGUGGCAAAAAUGCAUCAGAUGUUUCUUGAGCAGAAUCAUCAACAAGUUUCCUACUGGAGCAUCUUUGUGUAUGACUUCAACCUGGCUUUUGGUCAUCCUACCAAAGAUGUGUACUCUUCGUGUGUCAAAUUCUGCAUUGCAAUCAAUGAUCCUGAUCUGACUGCAGAAGAGAAGCGGAACAAGAUUCUUCUUUACACACUUCACCGUCGCUGAGCUCGUCACUUUUAUGACACACUAAAUGACGUGGGUGAUACAUUCACUGUCUGCUUUGACAUAAUGGAGAACUUGCUCCUUCCUAGGUCUGCCAUCUGUCAAACGUAUUACUCAUGGCAGGUAUACUUUUAUGUAUUCGGUGUGGUCCGUCACUGUGGCAGAGGAGAACCCCAGAGUCGGCAUGAGAUAAAUCUGUACACCUGGCUGGAAUAUGAGAACUCAAAGGAUAGUAACAUUGUCGCCCCAGCUCUACAUCACUACUUCACCUCAGUGGCUAGUGUUGAUCUGCGCCAGUGUCAGAGCCUCCGCCUGUUCUCAGACUCUUGCUACGGCCAGAAUAAAAACAUUAAUGUUCUGUCA
ensembl:lncRNA